CGGCUAGACCUCCUAAGGUCGGCGGCUUCAUUGCCAUAGUCGGGGUGCCGUUCGAGCCGCGGCCAGAUCGGGCUGAGCUGCCCCCGGUGCACGUCGCCGCAUCAGCCAUCGACCGCUGAAAGGAAGCAGGCGCAGCGCUGGCGUUCGGGAUCGCAGAAGCGCAAACCGGCAGGAGCCGCAGCGGGAUCCGACUGUUACCGUCAGCAGGAAACUAUUGCGAAUCCAGCAGGACAAGCUGCCUGUCCGGCGUUUGGUCCUCGUCUGCUCAUUUAGCGGGUUUCCUGAGACGUACCUGUGCAAGUCCCCUUUUAAGCAUUAAUUUAUUUACUGUGAUCUGACUGUUUUCAUAACACACUUGUUUGGAUGCAUGUCAGAAUGUUGCGGUGUGUCAUUUAGUGUACAUUGAGCUACAAGUACGUUUUUUUUGCUGAAAUCCUAAGCCGCCUGUGUGAAUGUAUCGAUUAAAAGUCAGUUGUCUUUAUGUGUAUCAACAAUUUUCUGAAUUUUCCCCCAGUCUUCCCAUUACCUCGUAUGCUGGCAGCCUCCGAAGCUAAAUCCAAACACGUCCCAUAUGUAGCCUAUACGAAGGCUCACCCUUUACCGUGGAAAACGUCCCACUGAAUGGCGCCUUAAAACGGGGUUGAUUCACACCUAGGUGUCAGAUUACAUCUGCUCUACAACGUGAUGUUUGAGGAAAUGUCGGGAAUGCGGACGUAUUGCAUUAGGCAGUGAUUGGUUUGCCUCUAUCACUGCCAUGCAUUCAAUGAUUCGAGAUGGUCAAUUCUACUAGACAAUCAAGAAGUAUAGCAUUUUUCUGAUUUUGAAGAGACCCUUUAAUGGAUUUCUCUAGUUAAUUUGCAGUUAUUUAAUUAUUUUCAUUUAGUUCACUCAUUUAUAGCUUUCAUAUUUCGUUCUGUCCUUGCUUCUUGUUUCCUCACAUCAUAUUCUUUACGUAUCUCAUCCAACUCGUUCACACCAAGGCCAUCUGACUGCCUGGCUCCUGGAGUCUGUAAGAAGAGCAUAGAUAAACUGUCUGCUUCCCUCAGUGGGGGCAGGCGGACAGUGGGCCGGCCAUGUGCAAACAUCUUUCUGUAAUAUUUUCGUCCUGUCUCAAUAAAUUGCUUAAGCUUAAGGAAACUGCCUCAUCUGUCAAAUCUGAAAGAACGGUCAAACAUUCAAAGAUAAAUUUGGUUAACAAUAUCUGAUCUUUCGCCCAAUACAGAGUUAAAGUCAAAGGUUUACACAGGCCUAGGCCUAUACAGAGGCUAAAAAAAUUUUCAGACUAAUAUUUUUACAACUCCACACUAGGUCUGAGAAAUAUGGAAAAUUGCUUUAUCGUGAUCAUUUAUUUUCUUUUUUGUAUUAGUUGACAUCGAUAAUCAUCUAAAUAACAUCAGUGCCUGACGUCACAAAUGCUCUUCUGGAUGAAUGGGCAGAAUUCCCACAGAUACACGUCAAAAACAUGCGGGAAGGCUUUCCAGAGGAGUGACAACUGUUAUAGUUGCGAAGGGGGGGAACAACUCCAUAUUAAUGCCUAUGGAUUUAGAAUGGGAUGUAAUAAAAGUUCCUGUAGGUGUAAUGGCCAGGUGUGGCAAUACUUUUGUCCAUAUGAUGUGUAUAUAUAAUCCAAGUCGUUAUUUUUUUUACUUUAAGACUCUGUUUUUGCUUACAACUGAAAAAUAAAAAAUGCAAUGAAUGGACUGCAAACUGAAAUCUAAUUUUAAUUAAUCGUCACAAAAUAAACAAAUAAAUAAAUAAACCUUUUGUCAUAAGUUGUAACACUAGAAAACGUGAACAGGAUGGUUUUUGUUGAGUUUUCUCCCUUAACUGUCUUGCAGCUUAUUCAAGAGAACGGGUUUCACAUUGAUGGUGGUUGUCACCUAUUAGGUUUUUAUGAUAUGUCCCGUAUUUCUUCAGCUCGAAAGUGAAAUCCCAGUUGCUGGUUUUGUGACUGUAAGCACUUGCAUUCUGUAUGAUCUACUGCAGUGUUUCCCAAUCCAGUUCUCCCGGACCCACAGACGGUCCAUGUUUUUGCUCCCUGCCAGUUCCCUACUGGAGGGAGCAAAAAUGUGGACUGUCUGAGGGUUCGCGAGAACCGGUUCGGGAAACACUGGUCUACUGGAUAGCAAAGCUUCAAAUCUUGAAAUAAAUAGCAAAGUUUGCAGUAUUUCCGUUUUUGUAAAAUUGUAAACUGCAAAAAGUACUGCUACACCACCUACAUUUUUCCUUGUUUAUCCACAAUAUCUCCAUUUUUGAAAGGUGCAGGGGCUGCUGAGCUGCCACUUUUUUCACCAAAACUUCAAGUUUCCUACGAGGGAGCCCCUAUCUAUUACACAAAUCAUUAGCAUUUUAUGCGUCCAGCUGACUCAACCAACUUUGCAGAAUAUUUGUUGUACGUAGGCUCAGUUCAUAAAAGGCUAACGUGAUUGGUUGGAAUUGCCUUAAUUUCUUUGAUGUAAUAGGCUGAUGUUAAGCAAUGCAAAGGUUUACAUGCACUUUGUUAGUAUUUGGUGACAUUGCCUUUUUAUUGCUUUAACUUGAAUCAAAUGCUUAGCGAAGCCUUCUGCAAGCUUCUCAGAAUAUGUGUGAAUGUUUGCCAAUUCCUCCUGACAGGAUUUGUGUAAGUCCACUUGGGCUGGAUGCAUCCCUGCUGCAACAAGCCCAGUCCACAAAAAACUGCGUGCUUCCGAUCAGGGCUUCAUGGUGGGUACUGCAACAUUAUGCUCUAUCUAAGCCGUUUUGUUACAACUUGGCUUCAGUGUCCUGCCGAAUAAUAAAGUUGCGACCAAA